rnacentral:rRNA from 1 species
UACGGAGGGUGCAAGCGUUUAUCCGGAUUUACUGGGUUUAAAGGGUGUGUAGGCGGACUUUUAAGUCCGUGGUGAAAUCUCCGGGCUCAACCCGGAAACUGCCAUUGAUACUGCAGGUCUAGAGUACAGUUGCCGUUGGCGGAAUAUGACAUGUAGUGGUGAAAUACUUAGAUAUGUCAUAGAACACCGAUUGCGAAGGCAGCUAACGAAGCUGUAACUGACGCUGAGGCUCGAAAGUGCGGGGAUCAAACAGG